GAAAUGCGAUAAGUGGUGUGAAUUGCAGAAUUCAGUGAAUCAUCGAAUCUUUGAACGCACAUUGCGCCCCUUGGUAUUCCAUGGGGCAUGCCUGUUCGAGCGUCAUUUGUACCCUCAAGCUCUGCUUGGUGUUGGGUGUUUGUCCCCGUCUCCGCGCGUGGACUCGCCCCAAAGUGAUUGGCAGCCGGCGUACUGGUCCCGGAGCGCAGCACAUGUCGCGCAAACGAGUGCCUUGGUACGGCGGCGUCCAUAAGCCCCUCUCUCACGCUCUUGACCUCGGAUCAGGUAGGGAUACCCGCUGAACUUAAGC
rnacentral:misc_RNA from 1 species